UACGGGGGGGGCAAGCGUUGUUCGGAAUUACUGGGCGUAAAGGGCUCGUAGGCGGCCAACUAAGUCGGAUGUGAAAUCCCCAGGCUUAACCUGGGAACUGCAUCCGAUACUGGAUGGCUUGAAUUCGGGAGAGGGAUGCAGAAUUCCCGGUGUAGCAGUGAAAUGCGUAGAUAUCGGGAGGAAUACCGAUGGCGAAGGCAGGUCUCUGGGCUGACACUGACGCUCAUGCACGAAAGCGUGGGGAGCAAACAGG
rnacentral:rRNA from 1 species